UUAAAGCAUCAUUUUUUCGAUUUCAUGUUUUUUUUUACCUGUUUCUCCUUAUGUACAGAAUGCAUCGUCGGAUUCAAACUGUAACUGCUGUAUCCAACCUCUUCUAACUGACA